AGUGAACGCUGGCGGCGUGCUUAACACAUGCAAGUCGAACGAGAACGGAAUAUAGCUUGCUAUAUUUGUCAGCUAAGUGGCGCACGGGUGAGUAAUGUAUAGAUAACCUGCCCUUAAGAAAGGAAUAACAGUUGGAAACGACUGCUAAUGCCCUAUAUGCCUUUAAUACAUAAGUAUGCAAGGGAAACGCUUUAGUGCUUAAGGAUGGGUCUGUAUGGUAUCAGCUUGUUGGUGAGGUAAUGGCUCACCAAGGCUAUGACGCCUAACUGGUUUGAGAGGAUGAUCAGUCACACUGGAACUGAGACACGGUCCAGACUCCUACGGGAGGCAGCAGUGGGGAAUAUUGCACAAUGGACGAAAGUCUGAUGCAGCAACGCCGCGUGGAGGAUGACACAUUUCGGCGCGUAAACUCCUUUUAUAUAGGAAGAUAAUGACGGUGCUAUAUGAAUAAGCACCGGCUAGCUACGUGCCAGCAGCCGCGGUAACAC
rnacentral:rRNA from 1 species